rnacentral:lncRNA from 1 species
UGGUGGGAGUCUGAGGGCCGGCGAGCUUCCCGCCCAGCAGGGGGUAGCCAAGUGCCAGGAAAUGGGAAGGAAUUCGGCUCCAUAGGAUCCAGUCUGCGCCAGCAACGCAGCCCACAUUCUGCAGGCGGGUGUUCUUCUCCGGGGUCGAUUGUGUGCCCCCCAAGGAGCCACUCACCUCGGCCUCCAGCUGAGGGCCUGAGCCUCUGGAACGGGUCCUGUUCGCAAAGGGAUCCCCGUAAAGGGGUGGCAAGAGAGGCCAGGAUCCCCUGGGGGAGGCUGGAGAGAGACCGAGAAGCCAGGCCUGCCACCCUGGCUCUGCAUGCACCUUCCGGAUUCAAGGAUCAGAUUCAUCUAUCUCAACCUGAGUGUCCGGAGGGAGGAACGCUGAAGUUUCAAGCACACAGACGCAGACAGCCAUGUUUUCCGGCCUCCCAUGUAGCUAGAUUCACCGUGGGACAGAGCCCUAGGCCAUGCCCAGGCGUGGUCUGUAGACAUCUCACGCACAUGCUUCGCCAAGCUCUCCUGGAUGACGAGGAUGAGAAAGACCACAGAGGCUUUGGAGAAAUUGUGUUGAAAAGGACAGAGCCUUAG